GAGUUUGAUCCUGACUCAGAUUGAACGCUGGCGGCAUGCCUUACACAUGCAAGUCGAACGGCAGCAUGAUCUAGCUUGCUAGAUUGAUGGCGAGUGGCGAACGGGUGAGUAAUACAUCGGAACGUGCCCUGUAGUGGGGGAUAACUAGUCGAAAGAUUAGCUAAUACCGCAUACGACCUGAGGGUGAAAGUGGGGGACCGCAAGGCCUCAUGCUAUAGGAGCGGCCGAUGUCUGAUUAGCUAGUUGGUGGGUAAAGGCCCACCAAGGCGACGAUCAGUAGCUGGUCUGAGAGGACGAUCAGCCACACUGGGACUGAGACACGGCCCAGACUCCUACGGGAGGCAGCAGUGGGGAAUUUUGGACAAUGGGCGAAAGCCUGAUCCAGCAAUGCCGCGUGUGUGAAGAAGGCCUCGG
rnacentral:rRNA from 1 species